rnacentral:lncRNA from 1 species
UCUGGAUCACCAGACACAAGACAUGUGGCCAGACAGAAUUAUAAAACUAGCUGGAGCACAGUCGGGGUUAGUGGCUCUGAACACAGAUGGAACCUUAGUGGGGAUCUCUGCAUGUGGUUUGGCUAUAUGGCUGAGUGGCUUGGGGUGGCUGAGCGAACCGGUGGCGGUGCUGUGCUGGGCGGCUACGGCUCCACAUGCUCCCGACCGCCGGUUGAGACCGUUGGCGGGGUCGACUGAAAGGACUGUUCUACAGCUUGUGGUCCUCCCACCACAGCCUUGCAAGUAGUUAGAUCACAGGCACAAGCCACCACAUCAGCUGUUUCUUUGAAGGACUCAGAGCAGCAGCUGUGGUUACCUGUUUAAGAACUGAGCAAAAUCAAGAAAAGUUAAAACUCCAAGCAUGGACAUAGGAGCAGGACCAUCCUAUCCCACACCCAGUAGAGGACCUAAGGCAGUUGGUGGCUGCCAGAAGAGGAGAGUUGCUUUUCUUUGGGGAAAAACAUCUAUUGCUAGACUGGGCAUGCCUCCAUGGUUGACCUCCACAGACAUGGCUAUAUGGGUAGCACUAACUGGACUUGCUGGGUUAUAAACACUAUAAGUGAG